CAUUAAAAUUUUUAUUAUGUGGUUAUGUGGUUAUAUACCACCUUUGAUUUGGAUCCUUUUGGAUAUAUAGUUAAAAUCACAAACUGACUAAUGAUUGCCAAACAUAUAUAAUAAACUUUUAAACACAUAUCUAGAUUAAUACGGAGAAAAGUGCUUGAACCCAACCAGAGAAUGAUCCAUAUUGCCUGAUGGAGAUAGUGCCAAUGACCACGGUGAUACCAUGUCCUAGAAAUACUGCCUAAAAUGUGAUUUUGUGAAGGUCCUAAGGUAAUGAGGACAUCAGAGCUUAUAUACUUCCCUCUCACCCCACCAUUAAGGGUUUGCCACUUGAUAUAGAUCUGCAUGAAGGCUUUUCAAAUUCAGUUUCUCCUUCUCUCCCCUUGUUAUCACUGUGGUUGAGACCUUUAUUACUUUAUUCUUGCAUUAUGAUAAUGUACUCCCUGAUCAUCCAUUCAUUCACCCGAAAAUAUUUAACGCAUUUCUGCAAUGUUUGCUUUAGGAUAUACCACUAUCCCUCCUACUCCUAGUCUUCUAGUACUUUUCUGAUACUCUGCUACUUGUCACCAUCACACCACCAGCAUCACCAUAACAUAAGAAGCACCUACUAUUUGUUCCUUAGGCUGUUCCAAAUACUGUAUUUUAUAUGUGAUAACCCAUUUAAUCCUCAGAUAUCCCUCUGAGUAGGUGCUGUCAUCUCCAUAUUAUAAACUGAGGCAUACAGAAGUUAUGUAACAUGCCCAAGGGCACACAAAAAGCAGUCUCGUUUUUUUACAUCUUAUAUUCUAAUGAAGAAAGACAUGUAAAAAGUAAUUUCUCCUGGUGAACAAAGUAUAGUCAUACCUUGGUUUGCGAGCAUAAUUCAUUCUGGAAACAAACUACUUGUAUUGCAAGGCAUCGCUUGUUGACCACGAUAAAAUGUAUUAGAAAUGUUAGCUCAUCUUGCAGAACACUUGCAAACCAAGUUACUCGCAAUCCAAGGCUUUACUGUACAUUACUUGCCUGAAGGGACGAGGAAGGGGUUUUCUGGGGAGAUGGCCUCAUGUGUUGUCUUAAAUGGUGCAUUAUAGUUCCCUAGACAGACUAGAGGAUGAGGGCAUUCGUUUGAGGAAAUUGAGUGGUUUGGUAUAACUGGAGCUCAGGGUAUAUGUGGAGAGAGAGGGCUAAGGGCAGAAGUUGAGACUGCAAUCUUGAUUUUGCAAGUUGAAAGCACAUGGAAGUUUUAAGACUUUUUAUUUGGAAAUCAUUUUUGACCUAAAAUACAAAAAAAAAUAGUAUAACUUUAUCCAGAUUUACCUUUUGGUAAUAUUUUACUCUCUUUGAUUUGCUAUUGCUUGCUCUAUCAAUCAUAUCUAUCUAUCUAUCUGUCAUCUAUCUAUUAUCUACCUACCUAUCUAAUCUAUAUCAUCUAUCUACCAUCUACCUCACUAUCUAAACAUGCACCUAAACACACACACACACACACACACACACACACACACGCAGGAAAAGUACAUGUUGACAAAAAGUGAAAGGCUGCAGGUGACCAAUUUAGAAAUACAGUAAAAUAGGAAGAGUUAUAAUAAUUAAUCAAGCACCCUUGUUUCUAAAUAAAGCCUAUAUUUUUGGUGCUGAAAUAAAGGAUCGUUGGAAAACAGAAAAGAUACACUCUCUCCAUGGUGCUGAAAAUUGAAUUCUAUUAAUUUUUGGUGUUGUGAAUGUCUCGUUUUCCAAUGUUCUAAACUUUAAGGAGACUUAAAGACAAUUAAAUAAGGCACUCAAGAGCUUUGGUUGGAGGAGGGAAAUGCAAGAAAAUGGAGGCAGAUAUGUGUUCAGAUUUCGCUUGGCUUUGUCCUUUUGGAACAUUUUUAUUCUUUCAUAUAAACAGGCUAACACAUAUUUAAAUGUCUGAAUCCAUUAUAUGUCACAAGCGUAGACAACAUAAGGGCUAUGUCUGUAGAACUGAGUAGAAAAUCGAAGUAGCUUUUUCCACACUGAGAAUUUAAUAGCAGGCAAGGAGGCCUGGCUCCACUGGGCGGGGCGAAAAGGCGCUCAGCCAGCUUGUGAAAUGAGGAAGAGAACUAAAGAAUGAUCCAUCUAUAGAUUUAGGAUUUAAUAGCUUUGGAAAGGUAAGUCAAAUAUUUUAACUGUACUUUCGUCAAACUUUCCUCUUAAACAGCAUUCCUACCGGAAACUUUUGAAAACAGCUACAACAUUCAUUUAUCUCAACAGCUGCAGGUACUUGAACCUGAGCUUCUACAGUGUCCACAGCCUCUUGAACAAUGAAAGUGGAAAUUAUCAGAGAAACAAACCAUGCUGAAUUCAGUGGUGCUGCUUCUGGUCCAGGGACCACACAUUAAGAACAACUUCUUUAACUGACAUCGAUGACCUGGUCUCUGCUUCCACAGUUUCUACGAUUCCCCCACUCCCUCAUCUUUCCAAUCUAAGGUCUGUUCAUCUGCUCCAAUAAACUAGAGAAACGAUACCACCUCAUGUCCUCCAACAAGACCAGCAAGCACAUCAGGAGAGAUGCUUUUAUGUGUGUCCAGUAGGAAGGCAGACAGAUGCUUCCCUGGAGGUCAGUGGAAGCAUUUCCAUACCUUUCGUAUUUGAAGUCACAGUACUUUGUGACUUUCCCUGGGGAAAUCCUCCAUAAACAUCACAACAAAUUGCCUCUUUGCUCUGCCUUUUGACAUUAGAACCACUAGACCCUGUGUUGAUUUACUCCCCUUCUUGUUGGUUUCUGUUGAUUCAUUAAUCAUGCCAUUGGCACUCAAGAACUGGAUGUCACUUCCUUUCCUUCAGAAGAAGCUCUUGAUUUUUUUUUUUUAAUCUUUUGUAGUUAGUGUCAAAUUGGACACUGAGUGAUUUAUUUGGGUUUGGGAAAAAGAUAAGCUUUGUUUCUUAGCUUUAGCAUGAUAAAAAAGCACUUCCCAGCCUGGUCAGUUAGGGUAGGGUUGGAAGAUAGGUUCUCUUAUUGAGUUUGAAACUUCCUGCUGGGGAGACCUAUUUAAAAGAAUGGAACAACAUCUAGUAAUCUAGUAAAAUCUUACCAGACAUAGUAGGUAAAGCAAGAGGCUUUGAAAACAACUGCUGAUUUUUUUUUUUUUUUAAAGCCAUUGAAUGGGUUUCAUGGAUCUUUAAGCUACCAAUUAAACAGGUUAUGGUCAACUUUUAAAUUUACUGUUCUUCCUUGGCCAUGUUGUUAAGUGCUAAUACUUCUGUGUCCUGGAAGGUGAUAGUAAAAAUCUCACGUAGAUCGAUUGGAGUGCUAUGUGACAUUUAAAUUUGGAAAAUUCUUUAAUAUUUGCAAAAUAACAGUUUUCCCAAUGUAUAUUUUCUUUAAUUGAUUGUCUUUCUGAAAGUGACUUUGGCCAAAUAGACUAUGGGAUUUGAGAUAAUGAUGAGAUUUCUACUUAUGGAUAGAAAUGGUUCUCACUUUAAAAAUUCCUAUUGGAGCAUUGCAUUGCACUUCUAGGCAUCUGGGCUCCAAAAUAGCUUUUGACGUAUGUAUGCCAGAUAUAAAAAAAUGCCGAGAAAGAAAGUAUAAUUGAUUAUAAAUGUUUUUGCAGGAAUCAGUAUGUGGUUUUCCUUAUUGAUUUUAGUAAAUGCAAAAUUAAGUUAUACUGAAUUACUGUUGUAAUUAUUAAUUGUCAGCAUAAUUCUAAAACCUUUCACCCAGACAAUCAAAGCAUUCUACUCAUUUCCCCAAUUGAUUAAAUAAAUGGAAAGUUAAGUAAUUAGUGUGAGCCAGAGAAACAGAGCAACGACCAAAUGUGUGGUUAUUUAUUGACCUGUUGCUAAGAAAAUCAUUUUCUGAAGACCCUUCAAACCCGUAACAUCUAGAAAAUUAUUUAAACAUGUGUUUCUUGGAAAAGAGAAAGUUUACACAGUGUUUGGAUUAUAUUAAUAGCAUUAAAAAAGUAUAUACAACAAUUAAAACAGGACUUUUAUAAAAUGCUUAUUAUUACAGGAAUGAAUUUUGAAUUACAAAGGCCCUAAUAAAUCUGGGUGGAUGACAGCAUUUAUCUUCCUCCUCCUCUCACUCCUUCCUCCUCCUUAAUAAAAUCCUUUUUACUUCUGUGUUCCUUUGUAUUUUGAGACUCUGGAAAGAACUGAAGCAAAACUACUGAAUAUCCUAACAAUAAUCCAAUCCAGACAUAGAAACUUUUACAGAUCUCCUAAUGAGGCAACCUGCUGGGUCAAAUAUCACUUCCCCACCAAGACGUUCCAUCACCUACCAAUGGACCAUUGAAGCAGUUCCAAGGAAACCUCAAGAUUUCAGGAACCUAGUUUGAAAACCAGUGCUGCAGAGGAUGAAGUAUGGCUGGAAAGAUUUAAGCAGAUUUUAGAAUGAAAUGGAAGUGGAAAUAGUAGUCCUUUGGACACUGAACUUGAGUUUUGAACUCUGCACUAUACCUCUACUUGCUAUCAAAUGUCACACCUCAGUUAUUGUGGGGUCUUUUAAGGUCAAAGUCUUUGUAAAUGAAGAAGAGUGUUAUUUACAUAGGUCUGGAUGCCAGAUGAUUUGGUUGACUGGAGUUGUUUAUCUGACUCCUAUUUUAGAUCACAUUGCUAAGUUCUGUGCCAGGUUUUGAAACUACUGCAUAAACUGUGUACCUACCUUCAGGGAUCUCACAAUUUAGAGAAGGUGACAGGAAGUAAAUUAGAUAAUUUAGUAAUUAGAAAAAAAUAGAUAAAUUAGUAAUUAUUAUGUUAUAGUACAGUCGUUCCUCAAUAUCCACAGGAGGACUGGUUUCAGGACUUCUCAGGUAACGAAAUCUGCGGAUGCUCAAGUCCCUUACAUAAAAUGGUAUAGUAUUUGCAUAUAACCUAAACACAACCUCCUGAAUACUUUAAAUCAUGUUUAGAUUACUUAUAAUCCCUCAUACAAUGUAAAUGCUAUGUAAAUGGUUGUUAUACUUUAUUGUUUAGGGAAUAAUGAUGAGAAAAAAAGUUCUGUAUAUAUUCCAUGCACAUGCAACACCUUAGGCCUAACUCUUAAUACAUAGUGCAUGUCAGAAACAAUGUGACAUUUUUUCCCCCAAAUAUUUUUAAUCCACAGCUUGUUGAAUCUGUAGAUAUGGAGGGCUGAUUAUAAUUGAUAUAAAAAUGCCAUAGUGGGGAAAUGUGCAUAGUGGGGAAAUCCUUCUAAGAGGAGUUGAUAGUGGAGUGGAACCUGAAACUGAUAGAAAUUAGUCAGGGAGAUGUGGGGAGAAGACUAGUAUGGGCAAAUAAAUAGCAGACCAAGAGAACAGCAGGGGCAGAAACACUUACAAGCAGGGCAUGUUUGGAGGACCUGAAGUGCAUCAUUAUGGUAUGAAGAUUGCACCAGAUGUGUGGGUCAGGGUUCAGUCAGGGAGUAUUGUGGAAAAGGAAUUUAUCAUAAGAAUGAGACCUUAUGCAGUUAUAGGAGUUGGAGAGGUAAAGGUCCAAAAAGGGCAGUUGAAGGACCAGAAAGCAGACUUAAAGUGGAGCUGUUAAACUCUAUGAGAACCAAGCAGUUUCUGGAGUAGAGCUGCAAAGAAAGGCUGGUAUAAAAGCCUAUGGACGUUGAUUCAUCUCUGUGGCUACCACCCCUGUGAAUUUUCAGUAAAGUGGCUGCUUGUCAGCCUGAGGCCUCUGUCACUUAGUGUGGUUGGCAAUCAGGAAGUAAAGCUAGAAGUGAAAUGUAAAGAGAUCAAACUAGAGAUUUCUAGCAUGCAUAUGUCUGUCUCUCAUUACCUCUAAAGAACAAUGACCUUCACAGCAUAAUAGUGGUUGCUUCAUUUCUGCCUCCCAAAUCUCUCAUGAUCUUACUUUUGGUCAAUUCUAACCUGGAAUUCUAUAGGAAAGGGGAUUCUAGAGAAACAGUCCCAGUGUAACCAAGCUGAUAAAUGUGCAUCUAGCACAUCAGCAUUAUCUUGAAAAAUUGAUAAGCACCUGAUCAAAAAAAGCCUUGUUUCUUAAGUGAAAGAAUUUGAUUUUUAUCCUGAAGACAUUUAAUUUUCAUUUAUAGCUUUAAUCAAAAGUGAUAUGAGGAGAGUUGCAUUUAGACUGUGAAAGAUGGAUUGUCAAGGCCAAGGGUUGAAGAUGGGGAAGUCAUAUCUCAAAGCAAGGAUGCUAUUGUUCUUAUCCAAAUAAGAGAAGAUGAGAACCCCAUGUAAAGCAGUAGUGGUCAGGAAGACAGAGGAAGUUGAAAUUUGGGAGAUGGUAUAGAUAAUGAUGGGAUGCAUUACACUGGGAAUUCAGUAGGAGAUGCUGGUUCAUAAAGAGGAGAGUAGAAGAGGUUCAUUUUGGACAUAAUGAGUUUGAGAUAUCUGGAGAAUGACCAUGUAGAGUGGAGUAAGUCGUAGGCAGUUAGAAACUUAGGUAUAGAACUUGGAAAGAAGAUAUGGGAUAAAGAUACAGAUUUAUUAGUUGUCAGCAUAGAGGUGGUGGUUGAAAUAAUAAAUGGCAUUAGCCAUGGAGACUGCAUAGCAUGAGAACACCCAAGGCAACACCAACGUUUAAAGAGAACACAGGGGAAGGGGAGUCAGCAGACAGGAAAGAAAUAGGUGGGGAGCUGGGAAUAGAAGUAAGAAUCUGGUCUGCUGAAAACCGAUACAGAAUAUUUCCAAGUGGAGGGAAGGUUUAUUGUGUUGAACUCAACAUGCUGACAAUGUUAGAAAACUAUUGAGAAAUAUAUAUUUAUUUUUCAGUAAAGCGAUGGAGGUAGAGCAUGGUUUCAGGAUGAGAGAGUUAGGAGAGUUAUGCAAAUUAUUUCAUCUAGAAUUUUGGCCAUAAAUUAGAGAGAGGUAAAUAGUGUUCAGGAAAUGUGUUUUGGGGAUGUGUGUGUAUGUGUGUAUCAGUGUGUAUGUGUUGGUUUUCAUUCCUUAAAUGGGAGACUUCAGUGUGCAAAAAUGCAAUGGUAAGAAAUAAAUUUGAAGUUGUUUUUCAGUGACUUAAAAAGGUAUCUUGUCACUACGGUAUAUGGUCCUUAGUUUUGUGUGUUGUUUAUUCUAUGUGUAUGAUCUGUGCAGCUGAACCAAAAUGUAAGGGAUGUGGCAGUGAUGCUAACAGGCUGACUGGAUUCAAAUGUGUCAUUAAUGACUGUCUCCUUUUACACACAGACCAGGUAAAAUAGGAAAGCUAGUUUCCAGAAGUUAAAUGCGUAUCUGCAAUUGGUCCAAGUCUUUCUGUGGCACAGAAGAGUAGAGUGCUGAAGUGCUUUACAAACCUUUAUUUGGUAGAAGCCUUCAGGCUACAUUAGCAUCAAAUUUUCAACCCCUUAAGGUUGAAUGUGCUUUUUGAUUUGAUUCUUUGGUAUGGAUGAUAAUCAAAGGUAAUUUUACCUGAAUGUUAAAAACAUGGAAACGAGCCAAGACACCAAAUAUUUUCCCACUUAGGUCUUACAGAACACGAGUUUUUUUGUUUUUUUUGUUUUUUACCAAUUACUAGUUACACUUCGAAAUCUGUUGUCCAUGUUGACAAUGGUUAGUCCAUCGGCAGAUCUACAUUCUCUAAAAUCUCAAAUCUGAAUAGAGGUAUGUUGUGCUGAUUGUCCCAUAUGCACACGUGCAGAAAAAGCUCUCUUUAAUCAAGCAUGACUUUUAUUCCCACUAAGCCUGGCAGUGUUUCAUUUGAUCUCUACUUGCAGCACAUUAUAUUAGAGAAUUAUCAUCUGUAUUGUUUUGUACAGUUCCCACGUAAAGAAUCACUCAUAACUAUCAUGAAACCAAGUUCUUUGCUCAUACAUAUUAUCUUAUGGGAGAGCCACUCAAAUCCUAUUACAGCUAAUUCCAGGGGAUGCUCCUUUUGUCAUGUUGAAAAUAGACAUAUUUUUUGAGAUUUUUUUCUAUCCCCAGGUUUCUGGAUUAACCUCCAAUAUAAUUACUUGAGCCAAAAUCUGUUUAUAUAAUACCAGGCUAAAUCCUAUCCCAACAAAUACCAAGUCAGCUAAAAAAUCUCUGCAUAUCUGAACUACAGCCAAGAGUUCAUCUAUUUCAAGGAAAAAUUUGUUUGAAAAGCCACAGCUAAUGAACUACUUCUUUCUCAAUGACCUAAAUAGGAUUUCUUAACCUUCUUCAGACUAUUCGGUAAACAAACUUACUCUACAAGAAUAUGCUUUCCUUUAUCUGAAUCCCAAAUAUAAUGUUGAUGCUUGGCCUGAUGUUGGUUAAUUGAAACUAAUUACAUUUCCAGAGUAAUCCCAGCAUCUGGAGUCAGUCAGCCUGUAAAGUAAAACUGAACUGAAGAAUGGUGUUGUCUCUGCCUUUCUCCAGCUGCUGCUGGAAAGGAAAGAUAGGUGGUAUAAGUACUUUUAAGUCAAAGAAUCCAAUUCCAUUCAUUUAUUUUAUUUUAAUUCUUCUGUAAGUAGCAAGUAUCACCCUGCCCGUUAUUGUUAAGCAGAGCGACCAUGUUUAGGCUAAAGAAAACAAUCUUGAAAACAUGAAUGAAAAGAACACAGAGAUCAUGUGUUGCUUUUUACUAAAUUGAGUAUUGUGCUGAUCCCCACUUGCAUACAUAUUUGUGCCUGGGAUGUUGUCUCAUGUGGUUGUAGUUCUAAAGCUAUAACCACCACAGUUUGCAUUCUAGGAAGAAGAUUUAGGAUUUUUAGUCAUGAAUUCUGCUUAACAAUGUCUUUUUAAAAAAAUGUAUUGGGGUGUCAUUGGUUAA